ensembl:lincRNA B230323A14Rik RIKEN cDNA B230323A14 gene
GGGCAGCGCCUACCGGUGUGCGCGUUGGGAAGGUAUGAGCGGAGCGGCGCGCGGAGCUGGCUGGCAGGGCAACCAGAAGGGCUGGGGACCUUGGUAAAGGCAUGAGGAGAAGUUUUAAGGACACGUUUGUUUAACAAAACAGCUGAUCAAGGACACUGCUUAGCAUGGAAGUCAGGAGUUCCCAGUGCUGAAGAUAAAGGAAAUCAUGAAUUGGUCUUCCCAGUAAGACAGGUGGGGGACUGAGCUCAUUCGGCUUGCUGUUUUUAUCUCUGUGCUGAAAGACAAGGACAUACCUGCCUUGUUGCCUGGAGCUUCUGGUUACAGCUGUGUGCAGGCCUUACAACAGGCUGGCCUUAAAGACAGACCAUGUCCUAAGGGCAAACCAAAAGAAGUUAGGCAAGAGACAGUAAGAAGCAAACACUUUACCUUGUGAAGUUCAGAUUUAGGUCUGGAAAUAGGUCCCCCACCCCCAGGGCUCUCUCUGGCCCCCUGCUGGUCCUCUCUCCCUGCUUCUCCCUCAGAUCACCUUCCAGAUCCUGCCACUCCAGAGUGACCCCUAAAGACUGGAAAGGGAAAGAAGAGUUAGCAGAGAUGGAAGUGGAGGUUCAACCCCACCCUUGAACUGACUGUGACCCAUACAGAGCUAGCUACCAGACAUUGAGGCAGAACCUCUCCUGCCUGGGCUCCUCUACCCCAGCGCCAAAUGGCUUCGUAUGCUUAUGCCUCAAAUGGAGCUGCAUCUGAAUGCUAUGUCUGCCGCUCACUGUGUACAGAUGACUGGAAAACUGCAGAAGAGCAGGCAAGUCACCCAGAACUCUGCACAGAGAUGAAGACAGUCCAAAAUAUUGAUACUUCAAUUUCCCAUCUGUCGUUUUUCACUUUUCUGUUGAUUUUGCAUUUAGCUCAGGCUUGACUCAAACUCUGCAGCCAUGGAUUACUCAAAGCCAUUUGAAUUCCCAGUUUAGAGAAUCCCUGGUGGAUGGUCCACUGUUCCUAGAAGCACAGGGAACAGCUGUGAAAAGAGUCACGAGCAUCUUUGGCCAUGGUGCUGUGCCAGUCUGAUCCUGCAAGGCUUGCUUUCAGAACGCAGGCCAGUGCACGAGCUUGGACCCAGCAGGCAGCAGAGGUUCAUAACAAGAAACACCAUAUCCCUACAGGAAAUCCCACAACCUUUAGCAAUGACUAUUCAUUGCCAUUUGAUAAGUAGUACCCCCCUGUGCGCCAGGGGCUAGAGAGUGCAAAUUUGAACAAAUUAAGACCACAGACUGUGUUUUAAUAAGGACAAGGAAGGCACGUCUGAAGAGUUCCGGUCUGGAGGAAGAAUGCACUUUCCUGGUUAGGAGAAGCAGCGGGACACAAGGGCCAGGCUGCUCAGGGCUUUGAGGAGAUGCUGAAGUUAACCGGAAAUGCUUUGUGUUGCUGUUCCUGUUGAAAUGUUUCUGAGAUUGCUUCUACAUGCUGCAGGAGGUUUUGAAAUGCUGCACCAGAUCUCUUGAGAACAGAUGUAUCCAAGCAACUGUCCAGAGCAACUGACAGAGGAGAGUCAGGCAUCCUGAAAGGGGCUGGGAAGUUUGUGAAGAUGGGUUAGACUUAGUCUGCACAGCCUGGGGAUCCUGGAUGAGAACCGACUUAUGACAAUAUCAGC